CAAUAGCGUAUAUUUAAGUUGUUGCAGUUAAAAAGCUCGUAGUUGGAUUUCGGGUGGGACGCAGCGGUCUCGCAUUGCGUUUGUACUGCUGCAGCCCUCCUUCUUGCCGGGGGCGGCCUCUCGGACUUCACUGUCUGGGGGUCAGAAUCGGCGAUGUUACUUUGAGUAAAUUAGAGUGUUCAAAGCAAGCAACCGCUCUGAAUAUAAUAGCAUGGGAUAACACGACAGGACUCUGGCCUAUCGUGUUGGUCUAUAGGACCAGAGUAAUGAUUAAGAGGGACAGUCGGGGGCAUUCGUAUUCCGUUGUCAGAGGUGAAAUUCUUGGAUUUACGGAAGACGAACAUCUGCGAAAGCAUUUGCCAAGGAUGUUUUCAUUGA
rnacentral:rRNA from 1 species